rnacentral:rRNA from 1 species
AGUGAACGCUGGCGGUAGGCCUAACACAUGCAAGUCGAACGGCAGCACAGUAAGAGCUUGCUCUUACGGGUGGCGAGUGGCGGACGGGUGAGGAAUACAUCGUAAUCUACUUUUUCGUGGGGGAUAACGUAGGGAAACUUACGCUAAUACCGCAUACGACCUACGGGUGAAAGCAGGGGAUCUUCGGACCUUGCCCGAUUGAAUGAGCCGAUGUCGGAUUAGCUAGUUGGCGGGGUAAAGGCCCACCAAGGCGACGAUCCGUAGCUGGUCUGUGAGGAUGAUCAGCCACACUGGAACUGAGACACGGUCCAGACUCCUACGGGAGGCAGCAGUGGGGAAUAUUGGACAAUGGGCGCAAGCCUGAUCCAGCCAUACCGCGUGGGUGAAGAAGGCCUUCGGGUUGUAAAGCCCUUUUGUUGGGAAAGAAAAGCAGCAGGUUAAUACCCCGCUGUUCUGACGGUACCCAAAGAAUAAGCACCGGCUAACUUCGUG